UACGAAGGUCCCAAGCGUUAUCCGGAUUUAUUGGGUUUAAAGGGUGCGUAGGCGGGCUAUUAAGUCAGUGGUGAAAGCCCCAAGCUUAACUUGGGAACUGCCAUUGAUACUGAUGGUCUUGAGUACAUUUGAGGUGGGCGGAAUGUGUCAUGUAGCGGUGAAAUGCUUAGAUAUGACACAGAACACCGAUUGCGAAGGCAGCUCACUAAACUGUAACUGGCGCUGAGGCACGAAAGCGUGGGGAGCAAACAGG
rnacentral:rRNA from 1 species